AGUACUUGAAUUUGUCGUCUUGUAUUGGAUUUUGAUGAUGCUUAAGUAUAUAUUUUUUAUCUGAAAGCAUCAGUGGAUGUUGACAUCAAAUUUAUAUAGAAUGACAUAUUAAAGGAACUAUAUGUAGAUGGGACACCAAGCUUUUAAAAUCGUCACUGCAUUCCAAAUUCAAAAUAUUGGAGAGUGUCUCCCUCCCUCCCAGACUCUACGCUCAUGCAGGUUGCCAGGUUGGGGUCACUGAACCUACACCAACAAGCUUAUGCAGGUUGCCAGGUUGAGGUUACUGAAUUCCAGUUCAAGAUUAAACUUCAAUAAUGGCAAGUCACAACGAGUCCAACUCCAUAAGUAGAGUAGCUAAUGUAUACGUUUUUAGUGUUUCUAUUGUUCGCAAAUUAUAUACCAGCUCAUAUGGAUUUUUUUUAUACUCUCAGUGUUAGCAAGAUGCAUGGCUGGCUAUGUACAUUAGCCAAAGCUAAGCCUGUUAUCCCGAAAACAAGCUCACUGCUUUGAAAAUAGGCUACACACUGGAUAAUGAUAACAUGGUUUUUCAAUUUACCAGAUAGCGUAUAAAUCAUUUCACAUUUAUUUUGGAGUAAAAGCGUCCUGUUCUUCCUUGUUGAAACCCAAUGCAGAUCUCAGUUAUGAAGUGUCCUCACCAGUGUCAAGUGAAGCCAGUGAAGGCUGGUCAGGUGUCGCUGAUACGAGAGGCAAAGAGCGGAGAGGAUGAGCUAGAUAGAGGAACAGAGACAGAAGGCAGAGGAGAAGAGAGUACAGGUCCUAGUGGUACAAGAAGCAGAGGAUCUAGAGGAGAGUACAGGUCCUAGUGGUACAAGAGGCAGAGGAUCCAGAGGAGAAGAGAGUACAGGUCCCAGU